UAUACGUUGCUCACAGGAGCUGUGCUCUCCAGGGUGGGCUGUACCAGCACGCUGCCUGCUUCUCACCUCCCCCACACAGAAGUCAGUUGGAAAAUUUGGGAUUCUGGUGUUCAUGCAGAGUUACGCAAGUCACAGUCAAGCUGUUUAAAUCUCCGUAUGCAGCCCCAGAGGAACAUGACAGUGUUUGGUGCUGAUAAGAUAUGAGUCUGCACUUCUGAGUGCUUGCUCACGAGCAUUCCUACCGUGUCAGAGCAAGUUCUUGCUGAAGAAAAUGCGAAUACCUUACACUCUAUGACAAUGUUGCAAAUCAGAAAUAGUUGCAGUUACCUCACGCUAGUUCCCUCUGAGGCAGAACAAAUCCUAAGGUUCCAGCUGAAUGCUUAUGAAUCACUACCUUGGGGAAAAAAAAAUGAUACCACCUGUCAAAUUUCAUCUAAACUCUCAGAAAAUGGGGAAAAUGUGCUGAAUGAGGCAGUUAGUGAUGGUGUUGUACAGGGAUUAUUACUACAUGACACUGUGAGUUAUGAUAUACUUACUGCGCGUUCCUUUCUAGCAGAGAAACAGAGCAGAAACUGCACAGCUGAUGGAGUGUGAGGAGAAGAAAUCUGAACAUCAUUGUCUAAGUACUUAGUGGCUUUGAAAUAAAACUAGAGAUUAUCGCAAGUGCUGCAGUUGUUCAAAUUCAGCUCCUGCCAAGUUUUCACACCACCGAUGCUUCUAAGAACAGAGAAACCUACCUUAGAAGCUUCUUCCCAAUUUGUAUCUUGCUAUUUUCAGUAUUAAAUUUAGAACAGUGUCUAAAUGAAACAUCUCAUCUUGUUUGUGGUGGCAUUCUUUUAAUGACAUUGUACCUCAUACACUUGACAUAAAGACUCAUACUGAGUGCUGCAGCUCCGUGGCAAGCAAAGCACCAUCCUGUAAAUGAAAGGAUCGCAUUCUCUUUGCAGGUUUUGUUCCUUCUGGCAAGCUAGAAGAUGUAAAAUAUGAACUGGAGAAAAAGGAGAGGAAGGAAGCAUCACACAUCAUCUAGCUAACGUAUUUUAAACACACUGUUCUUUUGGAAUGGUUUUGGUAGAGUCAUGAAUAACAAAACUGUGCCAUCAUCAGUUUCCAGGAAAUCCUCUUUCCAAUAGUUCUCAAGACAUCAGCCUUUUUGUGCUGCUCAAACAGCUUCUCUCCUGAACAAAUCACAAGGAUUUUAUUUUAAUCCAUGCAUAUUGUUUUAAGUGUAUAACUGAUGGGUUAUUAAAACAGGCAAUAGACCAUUAGCUGUGUGAAAAUUAGCGUGGAUUAAACCAAGCUUGUUCAGGUUCCGUCAGGGGUUCAAACAGCAAUGCAAGACACGUGGCCAAAUGCGCUAACUAACUGCUAGAGCCAAGAUGUAUUUGAUUUAUUGGCUUGAUAACCAUAGCUGACUUUGAGAUUGUCUAGGUCCUCUGAGUUUGAAGGGGUUCAAGUGAGGAGACUCUGUUUGAGUCUGUUUGUAUUUUAAAGGCAGAACGUGGCACUGAGGGUCAUGGUUAGCGGGCAUGGUGUUGGUGUGUUGAUGGUUGG
rnacentral:lncRNA from 1 species